GUACCCUAAGAUGAGCAUUAUUUCACUGUGGGAAAUCUAUGGCUUUUCUCUUUAUGUGAAAGGACAAUGGUGGCAUGCUGAUCAAUGAUGGUAGUGUUGGUAUCUAUUCACUCCAUUGUUAACUUCAAAUUUGUGUUCAAUCAGUGUAAUGUCAUGAUAGAUGCAACUAACUCCGGUGCGUUUGUGCCAACUCAGGGGAUGUAGUAAGCUUUCAGAGAGGAGGCAUUUUUUGUUGGUUGGAUACAACAUCUUUAAGGUUUUGGAUAUGUAAAGGCGGGCAUAUACCUCAAAGAUUUAACUUAUGAUUUCUUUGAUUUUGGUCACUUGGUCUCGAGUUCAGUUACUGGUUUGGUCUGUUCCAUGUUGGUCUAUCACCGCCAAUUGAUUCAGGUUUGAAAGCCAUAAUGUAUUCUUCAUCUUUUCGUUUUUACUAUUAGCCAUUAGGAUUUGUCAAUAUGCACCCGGGGUUAAUUUGGAGCCUUGGAAUUAGAUGUAAAAUGGUUUUUUUUGUAAUGAUAUUAUCAUAUUUACGCAAAGAUUUGGGUAUUUCACUGUUUGAUAUUCGAAUGCUUUUCCGCCAUCUCACAGCGUUAAUCACCUGACUUCGUUUUAUAAACGGGAAGUCGUGGAAAUGGAGGAACAUAAAGUUACAGAAUCUUACUUUGUGACUUGGGAGUAAAACCUUGCACGUACUGUAUAAAUUGAUCAAUUUGCAAUAUAAAUUUAGGAUUUUUUUCUGUUGAUUCCUUGCCUAUUUAUAUUUUUGGUGUACGGACGUCUCUGGCACCAAUGCAAUGUAUUUAGUUGCAACUUGACGAAGAAACUUGGUUAUAUCACUACGUCAAGCUAACAUGAAGCCUUGGUAAUAUAAUCUUGUCCAGUUUUCUGAUGCUAGACUAGUAUCCUAUUGUUAAGCCUUGCUAAAACGUGUUCUGUGACGUAGUGUAUCAACUGACAGAUUCCCACUUUGAGCCAAAUAAAUGAGUUGUUACCCUGCUUGCGAAGCUAGCUAGAAAAGAAGAUAUUAGCCUGCUUAUUAAACUGGUAAGGCGGUUGCCCGGUGAUACUAUAUCUUCCUUCCCUGCUUCUAACACCUUCAUUCAAAACAAACUAUACCCUCUCUCUCUCUCUCAGGGAACCUUUUAUAUGUAUAUCUGUGUCUAUCUCAUCAUUUAUUACUUCAUUUUGGAUUUCAGGAGUUUCAGCCUUCAUGAAAUAAACUUGUAAACAAAGAUGUAGCAAGCACUUGUAACUGGCGAACUGGAAAUGGG